rnacentral:rRNA from 1 species
GGGUUGUGAGGUUAAGCGACUAAGCGUACACGGUGGAUGCCCUGGCAGUCAGAGGCGAUGAAGGGCGUGCUAAUCUGCGAUAAGCGCCGGUAAGGUGAUAUGAACCGUUAUAACCGGCGAUACCCGAAUGGGGAAACCCAGUGUGAUUCGUCACACUAUCAUUAACUGAAUCCAUAGGUUAAUGAGGCGAACCGGGGGAACUGAAACAUCUAAGUACCCCGAGGAAAAGAAAUCAACCGAGAUUCCCCCAGUAGCGGCGAGCGAACGGGGAGGAGCCCAGAGCCUGAAUCAGCAUGUGUGUUAGUGGAAGCGUCUGGAAAGGCGCGCGAUACAGGGUGACAGCCCCGUACACAAAAGCGCAUGUGCUGUGAGCUCGAUGAGUAGGGCGGGACACGUGGUAUCCUGUCUGAAUAUGGGGGGACCAUCCUCCAAGGCUAAAUACUCCUGACUGACCGAUAGUGAACCAGUACCGUGAGGGAAAGGCGAAAAGAACCCCGGCGAGGGGAGUGAAAAAGAACCUGAAACCGUGUACGUACAAGCAGUGGGAGCACCCUUUGGGUGUGACUGCGUACCUUUUGUAUAAUGGGUCAGCGACUUAUAUUCUGUAGCAAGGUUAACCGAAUAGGGGAGCCGGAGGGAAACCGAGUCUUAACCGGGCGUUAAGUUGCAGGGUAUAGACCCGAAACCCGGUGAUCUAGCCAUGGGCAGGUUGAAGGUUGGGUAACACUAACUGGAGGACCGAACCGACUAAUGUUGAAAAAUUAGCGGAUGACCUGUGGCUGGGGGUGAAAGGCCAAUCAAACCGGGAGAUAGCUGGUUCUCCCCGAAAGCUAUUUAGGUAGCGCCUCGUGAAUUCAUCUCCGGGGGUAGAGCACUGUUUCGGCUAGGGGGCCAUCCCGGCUUACCAACCCGAUGCAAACUGCGAAUACCGGAGAAUGUUAUCACGGGAGACACACGGCGGGUGCUAACGUCCGUCGUGAAGAGGGAAACAACCCAGACCGCCAGCUAAGGUCCCAAAGUCAUGGUUAAGUGGGAAACGAUGUGGGAAGGCCCAGACAGCCAGGAUGUUGGCUUAGAAGCAGCCAUCAUUUAAAGAAAGCGUAAUAGCUCACUGGUCGAGUCGGCCUGCGCGGAAGAUGUAACGGGGCUAAACCAUGCACCGAAGCUGCGGCAGCGACACUGUGUGUUGUUGGGUAGGGGAGCGUUCUGUAAGCCUGUGAAGGUGUGUCGUGAGGCAUGCUGGAGGUAUCAGAAGUGCGAAUGCUGACAUAAGUAACGAUAAAGCGGGUGAAAAGCCCGCUCGCCGGAAGACCAAGGGUUCCUGUCCAACGUUAAUCGGGGCAGGGUGAGUCGACCCCUAAGGCGAGGCCGAAAGGCGUAGUCGAUGGGAAACGGGUUAAUAUUCCCGUACUUGGUGUUACUGCGAAGGGGGGACGGAGAAGGCUAUGUUGGCCGGGCGACGGUUGUCCCGGUUUAAGCGUGUAGGUGUGUGUUCCAGGUAAAUCCGGUUCACUUUAACACUGAGGCGUGACGACGAGGCACUACGGUGCUGAAGCAACAAAUGCCCUGCUUCCAGGAAAAGCCUCUAAGCAUCAGGUAACAUCAAAUCGUACCCCAAACCGACACAGGUGGUCAGGUAGAGAAUACCAAGGCGCUUGAGAGAACUCGGGUGAAGGAACUAGGCAAAAUGGUGCCGUAACUUCGGGAGAAGGCACGCUGACACGUAGGUGAAGUGAUUUACUCAUGGAGCUGAAGUCAGUCGAAGAUACCAGCUGGCUGCAACUGUUUAUUAAAAACACAGCACUGUGCAAACACGAAAGUGGACGUAUACGGUGUGACGCCUGCCCGGUGCCGGAAGGUUAAUUGAUGGGGUCAGCGCAAGCGAAGCUCCUGAUCGAAGCCCCGGUAAACGGCGGCCGUAACUAUAACGGUCCUAAGGUAGCGAAAUUCCUUGUCGGGUAAGUUCCGACCUGCACGAAUGGCGUAAUGAUGGCCAGGCUGUCUCCACCCGAGACUCAGUGAAAUUGAACUCGCUGUGAAGAUGCAGUGUACCCGCGGCAAGACGGAAAGACCCCGUGAACCUUUACUAUAGCUUGACACUGAACAUUGAGCCUUGAUGUGUAGGAUAGGUGGGAGGCUUUGAAGUGUGGACGCCAGUCUGCAUGGAGCCGACCUUGAAAUACCACCCUUUAAUGUUUGAUGUUCUAACGUGGACCCGUUACCCGGGUUGCGGACAGUGUCUGGUGGGUAGUUUGACUGGGGCGGUCUCCUCCUAAAGAGUAACGGAGGAGCACGAAGGUUGGCUAAUCCUGGUCGGACAUCAGGAGGUUAGUGCAAUGGCAUAAGCCAGCUUGACUGCGAGCGUGACGGCGCGAGCAGGUGCGAAAGCAGGUCAUAGUGAUCCGGUGGUUCUGAAUGGAAGGGCCAUCGCUCAACGGAUAAAAGGUACUCCGGGGAUAACAGGCUGAUACCGCCCAAGAGUUCAUAUCGACGGCGGUGUUUGGCACCUCGAUGUCGGCUCAUCACAUCCUGGGGCUGAAGUAGGUCCCAAGGGUAUGGCUGUUCGCCAUUUAAAGUGGUACGCGAGCUGGGUUUAGAACGUCGUGAGACAGUUCGGUCCCUAUCUGCCGUGGGCGCUGGAGAACUGAGGGGGGCUGCUCCUAGUACGAGAGGACCGGAGUGGACGCAUCACUGGUGUUCGGGUUGUCAUGCCAAUGGCACUGCCCGGUAGCUAAAUGCGGAAGAGAUAAGUGCUGAAAGCAUCUAAGCACGAAACUUGCCCCGAGAUGAGUUCUCCCUGAGACUUAAAGUCUCCUGAAGGAACGUUGAAGACGACGACGUUGAUAGGCCGGGUGUGUAAGCGCA